GAUGAACGCUGGCGGCGUGCCUAAUACAUGCAAGUCGAGCGAACGGACGAGAAGCUUGCUUUUCUGAUGUUAGCGGCGGACGGGUGAGUAACACGUGGAUAACCUACCUAUAAGACUGGGAUAACUUCGGGAAACCGGAGCUAAUACCGGAUAAUAUUUUGAACCGCAUGGUUCAAAAGUGAAAGACGGUCUUGCUGUCACUUAUAGAUGGAUCCGCGCUGCAUUAGCUAGUUGGUAAGGUAACGGCUUACCAAGGCAACGAUGCAUAGCCGACCUGAGAGGGUGAUCGGCCACACUGGAACUGAGACACGGUCCAGACUCCUACGGGAGGCAGCAGUAGGGAAUCUUCCGCAAUGGGCGAAAGCCUGACGGAGCAACGCCGCGUGAGUGAUGAAGGUCUUCGGAUCGUAAAACUCUGUUAUUAGGGAAGAACAUAUGUGUAAGUAACUGUGCACAUCUUGACGGUACCUAAGCAGAAAGCCACGGCUAACAACGU
rnacentral:rRNA from 1 species